GCCAGACUUUUGCCGCUUUGGCUGAUUGGCUAGCGGAGAUGCCAUAUGAUGCCAUAAUGCGGACGUUUUUAAUUGCAAAACUGAAAAUGGCAAUGCUGCACCUCGCGCGUUACUUUCAAAAUGGCUGCUGGCAUUGGUCGACACGACGAGAAUCGACAACAACUGAUAGAUCCCCACAGUAGUGAUCGUCCUGGUUUGUAAUGUGCCAGUUCAUGUGAAAUCUUGAGCUGAACGCCAAAUAUCAGGCUAGAUGCCUAGAUCUUUCCAAGAUAAGGCAAUGUGAUUUUUCGAAGAAAUUGUGCUUAUCGCGUGCUGUGGUUUGUUGGGUAAUUCAGCAUGCUAAAUGUAAAUGAUUCCUGACUCUAGAUUUUCGGGGUAUUUGGGAAAUGAGAACUACAGAAGCAGAUGUUUGAUAUGGGCCUAUUCACUUCAGCCUGCAUUUACUUAUUCAAAUGUCAACUUUGGGGUAGUCACUAGUCAAUAGGUGUGUAAAAUUGUGUCCACCAGGUGGCGGAGUGUUUGUUCGUGAGUGAGUGAGUGACCGGUGACGAUUCCGGAUUCCGCCAUUUGCUUUUUGAGACAGACGGAAAUGUAAAUGUGUUGCUGACGGUGUUUUUCGCUUUUACUUUGAAAAAACCAUGAGGUAUUUCCACGCCAUUCGACCAAGCUGAAUUGAAAGUGAACAAUUCAAAAGCAAGUUACAUGUCGAAGAUCUUCUACCUUACUCCACGUUAUCGCUGCCAUGUCACGAAGAUGCGCUUUUGAGAGGGUCUCUACUAAAUUGCAAGACAAAAAUGUGUUGAAAACACUCAGGAAAUCUGAAAUGGUAAUAAUGUAUUGUAAGAUAAAUCAAGUAGGGUAGCAUUUUGUUCUUGAUGUCGAAGACAAGUGACAUCUUAUUUCAUGCUUCUAAAUAAGUUAGCUUUUGUGGAAAGUUCUUGUAAAGAGUUGUAAAUUUUGUUAGAUCUAACAGAACAGAAAUUCCCUUCAUUCUUAAAAACAUAACACAGUCUAUGGUAAUAUUUUUUAUUUCUUUUUCUCUAGUUUAGUGUACAUUUGAAGUUAAUCAUUGCCUUAACUACUAGGUGUUUUUUGCAGGUGGUUUUUUGUUUAUUUAACAGUUUUAAGCCAAAGUUAAACAUCACUUGCAUGUAUUUUCAUGUUUUUCUUUGCAAAUUUUAUUAUCAAUAUUUUUUUCUUUGGCCAUUAAUGUUAUUUUCCUUUGUGUGAUUCCAUGGUCAGUUUGAUGUUUGAGUUGUUUUGGUGUUGCUGUUGUGCAGUGGUUUUGCAGCCCUUUUCCAGUUGAGAGCUGCACUUGAAUGGAGCUUGUGCAGACUUGUAGUUGAACAUCAUACUUAAAUGUGUCAUUUGCCUAUGUUGGUGUCCAUGCAGUGUUGAACAGUUGGAUAAAAUUGUCAAUGUUGCCUGAUGGCUGUUGGGCUUAUUUUAUCGGCUUCGUUUUGUCGAUAUGUCUUCUCUUGCUACCUGUUCCGGCGUUGAGUUCAAUCGUUUGCCGCUUUCCGGCUUCGACUUGAUUCAUUGGUGAAACUGAGGUUGCUGAAAUUCAAGACUCGUCAAUAUAAAUUAUGUAGAU